GGAAUAUUGGACAAUGGGGGCAACCCUGAUCCAGAAAUACCGCGUGUGGGAAGAAGGCCUUCGGGUUGUAAAGCACUUUAGGUUGGGAAGAAGAUGCAUAGUUUAAGAGAGGAUGCAUUUGACUGUACCGACAGAAUAAGCACAGGCAAACUCUGUGCCAGCAGCCGCGGUAAUACUGAUGGGGAAAGCGUUAUUCGGAGUUACUGUGCGUAGAGGGCGCGUGGGGGGGUGUGUAAGUGAGACGUG
rnacentral:rRNA from 1 species